GUUGCCCUCAGUCUUGAGAUUAGAAGACAGAGAUAUUCCUCCUGAAGACUCUUCACAUUUCCCGUGCCUUCUCGUCUUUAUCAAGAAAACCCAGACCCUACCGUGCCUUAUCACUACCGUGCCUUAUCACUACAUCGGCUGUGUGUGUUCUCUGCCCUCCAACGGGACCCCACCUCUGACUGCCCAAGGGCGCAGCUUCCAGAAGGAGCAGACGAUGAGAGACCCCCUUCAAAAGAGCUGUUCAUGGGGAGAAAAAACAGCAAGAUCCCCACAGAAGGAGGGGCAGAAACACGCUGAACGGCUAGCUGACGCGGCAGGGCACCCAAGCCCUCAUGCUCACACCGACCUCAGGGACUGGCGAGCCCUUACCACUGGCCUCUCCAGGCAUGGACUCCUCGGGGACUCCGCAGUGUGUGCCUCGCCCCAGGGCAGCGCACACUUGUCCUCCACCUGGACGUCCAGGGCACUUGCUCGGACCCGGCCUUGGCCAGAGGCCAGACCUGAGCUUGCGUGAUAUGGGAUUCUCCUUCGUCAAGAGACACAGGUUCCAGAAAAGGUGCCCAGAGUGCGUUGGGUGAAGGAUGGGACGCCUGCCAGCUAAGCCACGCUGGUCAGGGUGCGGCUCUGCAUUUUCAGCAGGAGCCCUGGCCCUCUGGUCUGCGGCCCACCGUCUGGGCUGUCAUCACCCCUCUCGGCAGAGACCCCUGCAAGCCUGGGAGGAACGGGCAGGAACAGGGAGGGGCCCCGCUAGGCGCUCAGCCCUGCUGGGUCUUCCUUGGAGCCCUUGGCAAGAAAGAACGGCAUCGCCGAUACCUCAGGGGUGCCAGGGGGAAGGAGCCUCUCGUCUUUCUCAUCUUUCUCUUUCCUUCCCGGCCCACUCUGUCGGGGCUUGAGGGGAGGGGCAGGGAGGCUGGGGGAAGGCCACCUGAGGCUGCUGUUCAAUGAAACUAUCCAGGUACAGGAUAGAAUUACUUGUAUCAAGUGCACAGGACUUUUAAUCCACUUGGUAAUCAAACAGGGCAUCACUCCGGAGCCCCUGGAGCCUGGGAUGACAGCAUAUUUCCACCCACUUCACAGGCGGCGUAACUGAGGUGCAGGAGAGACUCAGAAGGCAUCCACUCCAGCCAAGCAAGCUGUGGGGAAUUCAGAGCCUUGAACUGCGAGGCCAGCCCGAACCCGUGCAGAGGGCAGGCUGGGGGCACAGCUUACCAGCAAACAGUGCCUGCCUCUUAUCUUUCAAAACUUUGCAGAGUCCCUUCCGGCAUGCAUUGGGAUCUACCAAGACUAGGGGUGGGGGCUGCACACAAAUACAGAAAACGUUUCGUCAUC